rnacentral:lncRNA from 1 species
AUUGUGCACAUUUUUGGAACAACAAAUAUUCAUUUUUAUUACUUAUCAGGGAAUAAAUAUUUAUUUUGCUGAAUAAUUCAUUUCUGUUUUUAUUCAAAGGUUUCGCUUCGUAUCAUAACUGAUUCAAAAUGUAUUUGCUACAAGUGGCAGUCUGUUUCGUUGUUAUCGGAAGCGUUAGCCUAGUUAAUACUGCAACAGUUAGAUGGUUUAACAAGAAUAGACAUGUAUUUGAAAAUAUGAUAUACAGCGAGAGGCAAAUAAUGAAACUCAAGUAUAGUACUGAUAAGAUGUAUAGCUAUAACUAUUAUUAUCCACUUGGAAAAAUAACGAAAUCCAAAACUUUCUGGACAAAGAUAUCAAAAGCACCGUCGUGCUCCGUGGAAUUGCCAUGGUGGUUAAAUAACACACGACAUAAACGAGCUCAGUGUUCAACUUGCUGUCCAACGUAAGUAAAGUAACAAUUUUCUUUUUGAUGAGGAAAUUUAUAUCUAUUUGUUGCCAACAGUUGAUGUUUAAAGCCGAUUUGAAAUGCUUAUGUUCCUCAUGAAAUGUAAUUGAAAUAAUAUGACAGCAAAAUAGACGAACAUGCAUGCACGAUACCAUUUAUCCAGCUCUGGCUUUGAAGGCAUAACACUUUGCUCAGUUCCCGGAGCACAAAAAUCAUGCUCGAAACAUGAAAUCUAGCAAUUUGAUUGGUUGAUUUUUCGAGUCUGAGUACAAAAAAUCAUGCUCGAAAAUUUUAUUGACCGUGAGGUGGGUCUCGAUAGCGGUUAUAUUGAUGCUAAAAAAACAAUUAUUCGUUGUUUCUUUUUUGCAAAGUCGGGGUCCAUGCGAUACCGAAAAAACAAAAACUAUUUACAAACGCAUUUGGGUUCUAUUCGCACUAGAAAUAAAUAUACUGCUAGUAAAACAUACCUCACGAUCUCCUUGUGUACGUAGAGACAACAAUAGAUUUAGUAGUUACAGAUCUAUUUUGGGUCUAUAAAAUAUGACUUUGAAGUCUUCAUCGCUGGUCAAAUGUUCAACAAUGUUUUAAACUGGUGCAAAAAAUUCAAUUUAUUCACAAACAAUAUAAAAAAAAAGUGAAAUUUCGAGACAGUAAACACAAAAUACAUAUAUAAUCUAUACAUCAAGCAAAAGUAACGAUAACACAGCGAGUGUGGAACGCUUCCAAAAAUAUGUUAAUUUUAAAAUUUUUAAUCAAACAUUUUUCUCAAAUGUAACUAAAAAUAGGAAAGAAAAACUAUUUUAAACAUAUAUUCCAAUGAAAAAUACAUGCAUUUCAUAUUCAAAAGGCAUUUGGAACGUUACAGUCAAUUCACUAGUUGAUAAUUGAAAACAUGGAGGAAAGUUGUAUAUUUUUUAUUUAUUUUUUGUUUUGCCGGAAAUAUAGAACUGAAAUUGAAUGAAAAUAGUCGGGGGCACUGCGUUUUAAUGUGAAAUAAGAGAAUUAAAAACAAACUUAAUUUCAACAAUUAUGCAAAACAAUUCACAUUCGAAAAUAAAUUUUGAUAGUACAUAGAGAACCGCAUUGUUAAGAAAGUUUAUAUAUUAGUUUGAAGUCUCUAAAAACACAAUUUUCACAUCCUCCUUCUUCCUAACUUUGGGGUGGAAAUACGAUUUUCUAAAUAAUAAAACAGUCCCCCUAAAAACACAAUGGCGUAUUUGCCUCAAGUAAUUAAUACGAAAAGAGACAUCAUUAUACAUUACAUAUACAUUAUGCAUUUAUAUCGUUAAAGGGAAUGGUUAAAGUGAAUCAAUCUCCCGUUCAAAGGGAGUUAUUGAUUGGUGUCGCUAUUGUGUUAUUUCUUAGAGGUCAGUUUUCUUUGAACGAAGAAUCAGAAUGCAGAAGAGAACACGCAAUGUUUACAGGCUGAGUUUACAGUAGUAAGACAACUUUUAAACACUUGGCCACCGAUGCCUGUGUCAACGAAUUCAAAUUCUCUACUUUAAAUAUAACAUUAAAGCGCAAUGUCUAUAUAUAUAAUAAUAAAUAUGAAACGUGGUACUCGUCAACGUAAAGACAUAAAUAAACAAAAGACACCGAAAGGCUAAUCUACAGUAAUUAAAAUAGACGGUAUCAAGGUCAGAGUCAUGUAUCACGCCAUCUUUGGAUUGGUACAAUCGUAAUACAAAUCUGCAAAUUUAAGGCAGAUUUGCAUUUAAUAGUUAGACUGUUUAUCUUAUAUAAGAAAACUUAAUGACUUUAUUGUAUUUUCAAUUUUUAAACAAUAUCAAAUUUUGUGAUUUUUAGAAUAUUUUUUUAAAUAAGCAUUAAGGGGAAGGAUAACUCUUUUAGGAAAAAUAUAUACUGGGAUUUUUUUUAAUUUUACUCGUGAAAACGAGUUUGGUGACACAUUUUUUUAAUUUUUUUUGUUUUCUUAAAACGCUAAAUUAUAAACCUAUCUUCUCAAAUUAUAUUUUCAAAAUUCUAAUCUCUCAAUUUUUUAUGCACAAAAAUUCUGGUUUUUUUUUCAUCGCAACACAUCUAACCAACUUUAGCGCAUUUUCAAGGAUUAACAGCUUUGAAAAUAGCAAAUUGACCAUAUUUUUUAUUAUUAUUUAUGAAAAGCAUAGUAAAUAUCUUCAUUUUGUCACAUAAAAGAAAAUGCUAUCUCAAAAAAUAUUACUUAUGAUCUACAUUUUAAACACAAAACACUCAGUGCUUUUUCAUGAUUUACUUCACAUGAAACAAAGGCCUAAACUUUUAAAGCGAAAGUAUGUUAGAACAGACAGACGAACGAACGAAACGGACGCACAGACAGACACAUAAUGCCCAUAAAUGGGGCAUAAAAAAAGAUUGUGAAAUCAAUUCAGCAAUAACAACAAUGUUGGGAUCUUUUUUGUUUUAGUUUUUAGUUUGGAGGACUAUUUAACUUUUCGGAUGUAGCAAAAUUGAAUACUCGAGCUUUGAUAGCAGAGAUUUUCACUUAACAAUUGAACAUCAUUUAUUAAUAUUUCAGUAAAUUUUCGCAACAGCUUCCGGUAAAAAUAGAAAUACAAGAGGUAAUCGUAUGACGUUCUUAAGCAGCAGAUGGAUGGCAGAUCUUGUUUCUAGGAAA